AACGAACGCUGGCGGCAGGCUUAACACAUGCAAGUCGAACGGGCGUAGCAAUACGUCAGUGGCAGACGGGCGAGUAACACGUGGGAAUAUCCCUUUCAGUUCGGAAUAACUCAGGGAACCUUGAGCUAAUACCGGAUACGUCCUUCGGGAGAAAGAUUUAUCGCUGAGAGAUUAGCCCGCGUCUGAUUAGCUAGUUGGUGAGGUAAUGGCUCACCAAGGCGACGAUCAGUAGCUGGUCUGAGAGGAUGAUCAGCCACACUGGGACUGAGACACGGCCCAGACUCCUACGGGAGGCAGCAGUGGGGAAUAUUGGACAAUGGGGGAAACCCUGAUCCAGCCAUGCCGCGUGAGUGAUGAAGGCCUUAGGGUUGUAAAGCUCUUUUGCCAGGGAAGAUAAUGACUGUACCUGGAGAAUAAGCCCCGGCUAACUUCGUGCCAGCAGCCGCCGUAA
rnacentral:rRNA from 1 species